UACGUAGGUGACCAGCGUUGUCCGGAUUUACUGGGCGUAAAGAGCGCGCAGGCGGUCGUUCAAGUCGAGUGUGAAAGCCCCCGGCUCAACUGGGGAGGGUCACUCGAUACUGAUCGACUUGAAGGCAGGAGAGGGAAGCGGAAUUCCCGGUGUAGUGGUGAAAUGCGCAGAUAUCAGGAAGAACACCCGUGGCGAAAGCGGCUCUCUGGAACGGUACUGACGCUGAGACGCGAAAGCGUGGGGAGCGAACAGG
rnacentral:rRNA from 1 species